rnacentral:rRNA from 1 species
UACGUAGGUGGCAAGCGUUGUCCGGAAUCACUGGGCGUAAAGCGCACGUAGGCGGCUUUGUAAGUUAGAGGUGAAAGCCCAGGGCUCAACCCUGGAAUUGCGUCCGAUACUGGGAGGCUUGAAUCCGGGAGAGGGAUGUGGAAUUCCAGGUGUAGCGGUGAAAUGCGUAGAUAUCUGGAGGAACACCGGUGGCGAAGGCGGCCAUCUGGACGACAACUGACGCUGAGAUGCGAAAGCGUGGGGAGCAAACAGG